rnacentral:rRNA from 1 species
UUUAUUUCCUAUAACGAGUCGAACCUGCCCAGUGAUUUUAUUUAACGGCCGCAGUACUCUGACUGUGCAAAGGUAGCAUAAUCAUUUGCCUUAUAAUUAAAGGCUGGUAUGAAUGGUUUGACAAGAAUGACGCUGUCUCUUUCGAAUUUUAUAGAAUUUGGUUUUUAGGUGAAGAAACCUAAAUAAAAUUAAAAGACAAGAAGACCCUAUCGAGCUUUAAAUAAUUUUUUUUGUUAUAGGGUAAUACUAGUUUCAAAGAAAAAUUUUGGUUGGGGCGACUAAGGAACACAAAAAGCUUCCUAUAAAAUAUAACUACAUUUACGUUUUGAUCCAAAAUGUUUGAUUAACAGAAUUAGUUACCGUAGGGAUAACAGCAUAAUCUUUUUUGAGAGUUCUUAUCGAAAAAAAGGUUUGUGACCUCGAUGUUGGACUAGGGUACCCAGAGAGGUGCAGAAGCCUUCAAUGGUUGGUCUGUUCGACCA